UAUUUUAAUUGAGGAACUAUAAAAAUGUAUAAAAACUACAACAAAAAAAUAUUUAAAAUUUCUUUAAGUAAAUCAUAUAAUUAUUCUCUUAAUAAACAGUUCUGCUUCAGUUGAUUUUACAGUGUUUACCAUGGAGUUCAAACAUUUUCGAGUUCCAUAUUGAACAGCGCGCCAAACACUUAUGAUAAAUGCGUAUUUUCACCUGCUGCGUCGACGUCAGACGACAUUUGUGUAGCAAUUGAAAUCUUUAUACGAUAUUCUGGCCCGGACAAUGCCUAUAAAUAUUGCCCAGCCAGCCAUUAAGCGGGUUUUGGCAACCGCUGUGCAAAUUGGUAGCCGUAACCGCCCAGCGCCUCAAAUAGAUGGAUGACUCUCGGGUAGCAGUCGGUGUGUGCACGUUUAAUGGCUUCAAUUAAGACGCAUGAUUUGUGGCCGUUAGCCCCUUACAUUUGUUCUUGCUAACAAAUUAAUUUAGAAAAUACAACAAACACAUUGUAAAUAUUGCCCGAGGCGUUAUACGAACUGCAUUGGGAACAAUAUAACAAAUUGCCAGCUAAACUGUGGGACUUAAUUAACAAAUGCCACUUCUAUAUAAAAAAGCGUAUAUAUGUAUAUAUGUACACAGAUAUUUAUGUAUGUAUUUACCAGUGAAGAACCUAUAGGAAAAAAUGACGCAAAGUUCAAAGCACCGCAUCAGAGAGUUGAUUCGAUCCGAUACGCUGAAGCUGGACUCGUAAAUUUUGUAGAGCUUUCAAUUUUGAUCCUAUCAGCAGGUGUUAAAUAAAUUGAAUAUUAAUUAAUGAUUUCAUGAGUGAAAUAAAUACCGAACUUACCAUCUAAAUAAAAUAGCGGCUCGCGUAAAAGAGAAAUUAAUUUUGUGGUUUAUAAAAUUUCAGCUUUAAGGAAUUUCAAUUGCUUGUAAAGUUAAGUUCAAGGCUGCGGCUUUA